GAUGAACGCUGGCGGCGUGCCUAAUACAUGCAAGUCGAACGCUUUGUCUUUAAUUGAUAUGAAGAGCUUGCUCUGAUUUGAUUUUAUCUGACAAAGAGUGGCGAACGGGUGAGUAACACGUGGGUAACCUACCUCUUAGCAGGGGAUAACAUUUGGAAACAAGUGCUAAUACCGUAUAACACUAACAACCGCAUGGUUGUUAGUUGAAAGAUGGUUCUGCUAUCACUAAGAGAUGGACCCGCGGUGCAUUAGCUAGUUGGUAAGGUAAUGGCUUACCAAGGCGAUGAUGCGUAGCUGAGUUGAGAGACUGAUCAGCCACAACGGGACUGAGACACGGCCCAUACUCCUACGGGAGGCAGCAGUAGGGAAUCUUCGACAAUGGGCGCAAGCCUGAUGGAGCAACGCCGCGUGUGUGAUGAAGGGUUUCGGCUCGUAAAACACUGUUAUAAGAGAAGAACGACAUUGAGAGUAACUGUUCAGUGUGUGACGGUAUCUUACCAGAAAGGAACGGCUAAAUACGUG
rnacentral:rRNA from 1 species